rnacentral:rRNA from 1 species
CAUGAGUAUUCUAAGGCGCUUGAGAGAACUCAGGAGAAGGAACUCGGCAAAUUGACACCGUAACUUCGGAAGAAGGUGUGCCUUUAGUAGGUGAAGUCCCUCGCGGAUGGAGCCCAAUGAGGUUGCAAAAAAUCGGUGGCUGCGACUGUUUAUUAAAAACACAGCACUCUGCAAACACGAAAGUGGACGUAUAGGGUGUGACGCCUGCCCGGUGCUGGAAGAUUAAAUGAUGGGGUGCAAGCUCUUGAUUGAAGUCCCAGUAAACGGCGGCCGUAACGAUAACGGUCCUAAGGUAGCGAAAUUCCUUGUCGGGUAAGUUCCGACCUGCACGAAUGGCGUAACGAUGGCCACACUGUCUCCUCCUGAGACUCAGCGAAGUUGAAAUGUUUGUGAUGAUGCAAUCUCCCCGCGGAAAGACGGAAAGACCCCAUGAACCUUUACUGUAGCUUUGUAUUGGACUUUGAACAGAUCUGUGUAGGAUAGGUGGGAGGCUUUGAAGCAGGGUCGCUAGAUCUUGUGGAGCCAACGUUGAAAUACCACCCUGGUGUGUUUGAGGUUCUAACCUAGGCCCGUAAUCCGGGUUGGGACAGUGCAUGGUAGGCAGUUUGACUGGGGCGGUCUCCUCCCAAAGUGUAACGGAGGAGUUCGAAGGUACGCUAGUUACGGUCGGACAUCGUGACGAUAGUGCAAUGGCAUAAGCGUGCUUAACUGCGAGACUGACAAGUCGAGCAGAUGCGAAAGCAGGACAUAGUGAUCCGGUGGUUCUGUAUGGAAGGGCCAUCGCUCAACGGAUAAAAGGUACUCUGGGGAUAACAGGCUGAUACCGCCCAAGAGUUCAUAUCGACGGCGGUGUUUGGCACCUCGAUGUCGGCUCAUCUCAUCCUGGGGCUGUAGCCGGUCCCAAGGGUAUGGCUGUUCGCCAUUUAAAGAGGUACGUGAGCUGGGUUUAAAACGUCGUGAGACAGUUUGGACCCUAUCUUCCGUGGGCGCUGCAGAUUUGAGGAAGCCUGCUCCUAGUACGAGAGGACCGGAGUGGACGCACCUCUGGUGUAUCGGUUGUCACGCCAGUGGCAUUGCCGAGUAGCUAUGUGCGGAAGAGAUAACCGCUGAAAGCAUCUAAGCGGGAAACUCGUUUCAAGAUGAGAUCUGCCGGGGCCUUGAGCCCCCUGAAGAGUCGUUCAAGACCAGGACGUUGAUAGGACGGGUGUGGAAGCGCAGUAAUGCGUUAAGCUAACCGAUACUAAUUGCUCGUGCGGCUUGACCCC